UACGUAGGGUGCGAGCGUUGUCCGGAAUUAUUGGGCGUAAAGGGCUCGUAGGCGGUUUGUCGCGUCGGGAGUGAAAACCUUGGGCUUAACUCAGGGCUUGCUUUCGAUACGGGCAGACUAGAGGUAUGCAGGGGAGAACGGAAUUCCUGGUGUAGCGGUGAAAUGCGCAGAUAUCAGGAGGAACACCGGUGGCGAAGGCGAGGUGCUGGACCCCAUCUGACGCUGAGGCGCGAAAGCCAGGGGAGCGAUCGGG
rnacentral:rRNA from 1 species